rnacentral:tRNA from 1 species
UAGCUCAGGUGGUUAGAGCGCACCCCUGAUAAGGGUGAGGUCGGUGGUUCGAGUCCACUGCGGCCCAGAUUAA